GUCAUGCUGGGAGAGGAGCAAAAUGAAGGCGUGCCAUUUGGGGAAAUGCAUGCAACAGAUGUAAACACCGAGGCAGUAGGACCAUAUAUGCAAAAUAUUUGCAAAUAGGUGAACGUUUCUGCUUAAACCAGCAGUAGAAGUGUGGCAAACAAGUAUAGAGCACAAAGGACAUGGAAUAUCUGUGGCAAAUGUUGGUGUUUAUGGUUACACAGCUCAAAGUGCUUCACACCGCCCAGAAGAAUAAAACGUGGUUCUCCAGGACAGAGGUACCAGCAGAUAAGGAUGCUGCACUGUAUGUUUAAGCACUGCCACAAACAUAGCCUGAGUCAUCGGGCUGCGCUGAAAGGGGCAGCACCAAGCUCUGCCCAUCUUCCUUCAGAGAGCUUCCUCUGAAAGCUUCUUGAUCUGCUCAGAAACUGAGACAGUGAUUUACCUUUACUUGCUGAAAACUAGGGAAGUGUUGGCCAGAACUCUGCGGGAAUUUUUCCUUGCCUACAGCAAGAAAAGCAGUAAAGGUAAGGUGUUGUCUGAGGUAGCUUUCUAAACACGACUUUCAGGGAUGUUUUAGUGACCUCAGAAUGAACCUGUCCACAUGUCAGCUUCUGAGCUGGAGACAGAGUGCAGGGCAGAACCUGCCUGGUUUGGAGCAUGCCUGAUUCUCCUUUCUGAGCACUCAGCCCCGUGGCUUUGGAUGAGAUAGCAGGACCUUCUGUGGGUCCUGCAGAGCAUGAGGCGUGGAAGGUCUCCAGCCUUGUGGUGGGCUCAGCCCCAUGGUGGGCACAGUCCCAUUCUGGGCAGAGUCCCUUGGUGCUCACAGCCCCACACCCUCCCCAGCCCAGCCAUGGCCCAGCAUCCUCUGCAGCACAGCCUGAUUCUGCACCACAGAAUUUAGGCAGAAGGUGAAAUUCUCUAGCACAGGAUAUCAGGUCUGAUGAGCACACAUGGGGAUCAGUGAUUUUUCCUCUGUAUCCUCUCUCCCCUCUGUCAGUCCUGAAGGAGGAGAAGCUGAAGCCCACCGCAAAGUAGGAGCCUAUUUCCCUUGUGCAGCUCCCUUUUAUCAGAUGUAAUUACUGGCUUUUAAAAUAGCCUUGCUUCUCUUCUCAUCUGACAGCCACAGGCUUGCCUGCCAAGGUGCCAUUUGUCUCAGCAUAACAAGAGGGAGAAGAAGUUUCUCAUCCCUCAGCAGGGAUGCAGUGAGACAGCUUCCCAGGUGACUGCAGGCCUAUGGGCAUCUUUAUCCUGAUCCUGCAGCCCCAGGGUGAUCAGACAUGGCACAGUGCUGCACUACAUGCUGGGACUGGCAGACAGUGCUGCUCUCACCAAGACUCUGCUGCUGAAUGCCCAUACACUUUCUGGGGAUGGUAAGCACUGGCAUCAGUAACUGCAGGAUACUUCACUUGGUUCUUAUUGGUAAGGCCAAGGUGCUGUCUCAGCUGCUGCUCUCCAGUGGGAUGGUGGCCGUGCAAGUGUUUUAUUUUCAGUGCUUCAGACUGGAGAACUCCAAAUGAGGGUGCACCUCAACUUCAUGGCUGCAGAAGCAUA